rnacentral:tRNA from 1 species
GCCCCGGUGGUGGAAUUGGUAGACACGCAGGACUUAAAAUCCUGUUGGCAGCAAUGCCAGUAACGGUUCAAUUCCGUUCCGGGGCA